GGAAGGAUAGAUUAGGGCUCACUCUUAAAAACUUAUAUAAUUCUCUUCUGGGAACUUCUCUGCUGCAGCUUGAAGCCUGGAAGCCAGCUGGGACAAAAAAUGCCUUCCCAGAAAGCAUCCCCGAGAGAGAUCACAUAUAAUAAUUGGCCUGGAGUCCCCCGUUCCUUACAUCCUGUGCUCCUGUAUCAGCCAGAGAUGGUCAGCGCUUGGCUUAAUCAUGAAAGCAUCCUUCAUAUUCCCAGGAUCCUGGACUCUGCUGUUUCUAUCUUGGAGGGCUUGAUGCAGACAUGUGCAAAUUAGCAGGCCCAGGUAAACAGAGAAGAUCAGUAUGAAGCUUGAAGAAAUAAAGAAAAAAAAUUCUACAUCAACCACUAGGGCUAAUUGCAUGGCCUCCAUACUUCCUUCUGCCCUUGUCUUUAAAAAAUCCAUUACACAUUUCUACAAAGGAAUAACUAUAAUUAUGACAGGGAAAAUAUAAUUUCAAAGACAUUUUAAAUAAAAGAAGGAAGCUUUUCUUUGAAAUUUGCCGGAAUAGGCUUUAAUUGUGCCUUGGGAACCACCAAAGCAAUUAAUCAGGUAAUGUAUCUGAUUUUAGGCAUUUGUGGAAGUAGUUUUUAUUUAAAAAGAGAUCUUUUUUACUUAGAGCCUUGAUCUUUGUUGACAUUAAGUGAAUAGAAAUGGAGGGGUGUGAAGAAUUUAAAAAAAGCAAAAGUUUUGCAGCAAGGCCUUAAAAAUAUAAACAAAACAUCAUCAAUCUUCAUUGUGUCAGCAAAUUGACAAAAUUCAAAUUUCUCUAGAAGCUGUCAGGGGAUGGUUGGUUCCUGUCCGCUCACUUGCUGGGAGAUGUUUUCAAACUCAUUAACUCCCAUUUACCGGAAAGGAAUUGCUUUCUCACAAGCAUGGAAACCUCAGAAGUUGCAAAGGGCUUGGUAGGGAAAUGAUAUUAUGUCUGUGGAUGACUAAGUAUAUGGCUUCAGAAUCUCUCCCCUUUAAAUCUUCCUCACAGAAUUUGGAGCUGAGAAGCAUUUGAAAGAAGUAAUUUUAUCUGUAGCCUAAAAUUUUCAGGGUAGCUGCAGCUAUUUUGUAUUUUAUAAAAUCACUGCCACCUCACUACAGUCUUUAAAAAGACUCUAUAAUAUAGAAACAAUUUCUUUUUAAAUCUGUACCCCUGAACACUCCAUGCAUUUAGAGGUAUGACACAGAUCCACUGUAAUAUUCAAAAUAGAUAACCAAGCACAUAAUAAAAGAAAU
rnacentral:lncRNA from 1 species